rnacentral:rRNA from 1 species
GCCUACGGGGGGCAGCAGUGGGGAAUUUUGCGCAAUGGGCGAAAGCCUGACGCAGCAACGCCGCGUGGAGGAUGAAGGUUUUCGGAUCGUAAACUCCUGUCCUCAGGGAAGAAGAAAGUGACGGUACCUGGGGAGGAAGCCCCGGCUAACUCCGUGCCAGCAGCCGCGGUAAUACGGGGGGGGCAAGCGUUGUUCGGAAUUACUGGGCGUAAAGGGCGCGUAGGCGGCCUGGGAAGUUCUGGGUGAAAGCCCCCGGCUCAACCGGGGAAGUGCCUGGAAAACCACUGGGCUGGAGUGCUGGAGAGGGAAGCGGAAUUCCUGGUGUAGCGGUGAAAUGCGUAGAGAUCAGGAGGAACAUCGGCGGCGAAGGCGGCUUCCUGGACAGACACUGACGCUGAGGCGCGAAAGCCAGGGGAGCAAACAGGAUUAGAUACCCUGGUAGA